rnacentral:rRNA from 1 species
UACGUAGGAUCCAAGCGUUGUCCGGAAUUACUGGGUGUAAAGGGUGCGCAGGCGGACUUGUGCGUCAGAGGUUAAAUCCAUCGGCUCAACCGGUGAACUGCCUUUGAUACGGCAAGUCUUGAGUGCGAGAGAGGAUAGUGGAAUUCCUGGUGUAGCGGUGAAAUGCGUAGAUAUCAGGAGGAACACCUGUGGUGAAGACGGCUAUCUGGCUCGCAACUGACGCUCAGGCACGAAAGCGUGGGGAG